GUUCAAUCCUUCGAGGACAUUCGAUAAAAUUGGAACGAUACAAAGAAGAUUAACAUGACCUGUGUGCAAGAAUGACACAUACAAAUCGAAAAAUAGUCCAAAUGAUU